rnacentral:lncRNA from 1 species
UUUUAAACUUUUAUAGUAUCUUUUUGUAAAAAUAAUGAUUCCAUUUUUUUUUUUGUAGGUAUCAAUGUUGGUGAAUAAAAAGAAACUACCAGGAUUUUCCUCCUUUUUCUUUGGAAAAUUUGUGUAAUUUUUUUCCCAUCUUCAUACACAGUCCCUCUUCUGCCCUUCUCAUCAAAAAUAAAUGGUAAUAUUUGGUUUGUUGUGCUGUGGAUUCAGAGACUAGUGGGCCCUUGUAAGUAACCUCAUUCUGAACCCAAGGCAAGGCUACCUUGUCACCGCUCAGAUCCUGGAAUAAACUUGAGGCAUUUGCCGUGCCGGCCUUCUGUCUGACUUAAUUGGGCCAUUUUUAAGUGAGUAUGGAUAAUGAAUGUGUUUGAUUACUGUUCUUGGUCCUGUCU